GCGAGGGGCCUUAACUCGCUUUCCUAAUCGAUCGAUGGUUCCUCCUCAUCAACUUGGUUGCUGGAGAGUGGCCGAUUGCUCUACAUCAGCCGGAUUGAAGUGCCGACGCCAUUUGGAAACACCCGAUCAAGAUGAAGCAAUGGAUCAUUGUUCUGUGGACCUCCUCUGUUGUCGAUCACUGUCUUUUCCCAAUUCUUGAAGCUGUGAAGGUUUUGGGUAAGAUGGAGGUUCUGUUGAGUUUCUGGACAGUGGAGUGUAGCACUGUUGAGCUAUUGGAUUUGCUGCCUUCCCUCAAGGUAAGAGUCUACCACUAGUUUUCUUCUUAGUGUGAAAUAAAUUCAUGGUUGUUUAGUGCAUUG